CUGGGAGGUGAGGUCCUGGGCGGCCGCUGGCCACCAGGCGGAAGUGCGUACCGGAAGUGCCGGCGGCAGUGUGUAAGACGCUCACGGGCGCGCGGACUAUCGGGCGGCUAGGCUCUCUGAGGAGGCUGCCACAGUGGUGAGUGGUGUGUGGAGGAGAGGCGAGGGUGAUUGUGAGGGAUGGAGAGGCGCCCGUGGCCUAAGUGUGCUGAUGGUGGGAGUGAAUGAGUGGACGGGUGGGACCUGUGAGGGGAACGCGACCCCGGGUCGGCGCGGGCAGAGAGGCGCGCGGUGCGUGAGGGCGCGACCUGCCAUGUCCUGCCGGGUGUCACCGCUUAUGCGCCCGUGGGAGGGGAGCAUUCUGUGUUGGAGGCAGAAGGAAUGAGGGUCGUGACCAACUCAUUAUACCACUGGAGGCUCUAUGAGCAAACCGCAAACUGUUCUCAUGAAAGCAGGAUGUUGAAGCAACCGUGACAAGUGGUGCCCGACCAGGGACCUGAACGAGGAAGGUCUGCCAGAGCAGAGAAAGUGAAACUGAUCAGACGAACUACGAACCCCUGGACGGGAGAGUCUGCCGGCGGAGAAUAUAAGGAGAUGGACAAACCGUGUGGGUGCCCUCCAGGUGUGUGUGACCAUGGAACGGGAGACCGGAGGGAUCCAUGGUAUUCAACCGUGGGCCUGUUACCUCCAGUACGAGCCAUGAGCCAGCGGAAUCUGAAUGCAAAGACAGAACAAGGGCCGACCGGAGUCACAAUGACAUCCAACCCCAUAACAUGGGGACAGAUCAAGAAAACGACACAAGAAGCUGAGAAACUACUGGAGCGCCAGGGUCAGGCAAAAACCCCUGACUCCAUGUUCUUGGCCAUGCUAGCUGUAGUGUCCUGUGCGUCUAUAGGAUCGGGUGAACCACCAACCGGCAAUUGAAAGC
rnacentral:lncRNA from 1 species